rnacentral:rRNA from 1 species
CAGCCGCCGCGGGAAUACGAAGGGUGCAAGCGUUAAUCGGAAUUACUGGGCGUAAAGCGUGCGUAGGCGGUGAGUUAAGUCUGCUGUGAAAUCCCCGGGCUCAACCUGGGAAUGGCAGUGGAUACUGGCUCGCUAGAGUGUGUCAGAGGAUGGUGGAAUUCCCGGUGUAGCGGUGAAAUGCGUAGAGAUCGGGAGGAACAUCAGUGGCGAAGGCGGCCAUCUGGGACAACACUGACGCUGAGGCACGAAAGCGUGGGGAGCAAACAGGAUUAGAUACCCCUGUAGUCCCUGUCUCUUAUAU